GGUUAUUAGGAAGAUUUAAUAAUCUUACCUGCUCAGUGCUUUUAGUAAAUAGCUGCAGUAUUUUGACUGUACUAAGGUAGCAUAAUCAAUAGCUUUUUAAUUGAAGGCUGGAAUGAAAGGUUAAUACUGUGAAGAGAGUUUUAUUAAUUUAUUUUGAAUUUAGAUUAAAAGUAAAAAUACUUUUAUUAAACCUUGGGACGAGAAGACCCUAGAAGCUUUUAUGUAAUAAUAUUUUAGUUGGGGUGACUAAUGAAGAUAAAAAUCUUUAAAUUAAAAUUCUAUGUUUAAUAAGUUACUCUAGGGAUAACAGCGUAAUUUAAUUGAUGAGUUCUUAUUUAGAAUUAGGUUUGCGACCUCGAUGUUGAAUUAAAUGAAAAUAAGGUGCAGAAGCUUUAUGUUUUAGUCUGUUCGACUAUUAAAUUUUUACA
rnacentral:rRNA from 1 species